rnacentral:rRNA from 1 species
UGGGGAAUAUUGGACAAUGGGGGAAACCCUGAUCCAGCGAUGCCGCGUGAAUGAAGAAGGCCUUAGGGUUGUAAAGUUCUUUCACCUGUGACGAUGAUGACGGUAACAGGAGAAGAAGCCCCGGCUAACUUCGUGCCAGCAGCCGCGGUAAUACGGAGGGGGUUAGCGUUGUUCGGAAUUACUGGGCGUAAAGCGCACGUAGGCGGAUUGGAAAGUCAGAGGUGAAAUCCCAGGGCUCAACCCCGGAAC